ensembl:lncRNA
CGGUUUUUCAUUUCACCCCAAGGGAGCAAGAGGUGGUGGUGUUUAGUUUGCCUGUGUCCUGUCUAACCUUCCAUAAGAGGGCAGCUCGGGCCCAAACGAUCCCAAAGUAUCCCUUCGUGGAUUGCUGGACAGAAACCAGACUGCGUGACUAGUAAAAACCGGAGAGGACAGAAAGGUUUUUGUGUGCCAGUGUUCGUUUGUGUCUCCAGAAGCGAUUUUAACAGCUACAGCUCACAACCACUAGAUGGCACUACAGCACUGAGUUGCAAAACAAGACGUACUCUCAUACAUAGUCACACAUACAUACAGCACAGUAAGCUCAAGAUGCUUAUGGCAUAUGUAAAGUCUGCUGCUUAUUUAUAUUGUUUCAUAAAAUAUGCUGUCGAUCAGAUGGAUUGGAAUUUGCAUUCAGUUUUUAGGGAAGCAAAUAUACAUGGUAUUAAAAUGCAGAACGUAGCAAAAGUAUUUGCAUAUAAAAGCGUUCUUGCGUGUUUGAUGUUGUUAAGGGUGGGAAGUGAGUGGGUGAAAAUGCUGUUGCGAUGCUUGGAGAAGUUUUUAUUUUUUUUAUUUUUUUUUUACCUCUUUCUAUGGUACAACAGGCGAGAGAGUAAAUCCACCCUUCAGCAAUUUGACUGAAUAAAACGAGCUGUUUUACUGUUUUGGAGGAGAAGGAACACAAUAGUCUAAUGUUUCGUCCCUGUAAGUCUGCUGUACAGAGGCACUGGCCUGCUGCGUUAUAAAUGCCAAUCCUGAAACAUGAUAUCUUAAUAGUUGAGUGAAAGUGAACGUAAACACCAUCCUGAGGGCCUAUUAGCUCGGUAGUGGAUGUAAAGCACUCACGGACUGUUCAGUUAGGUGACCGUGGUGAAUGUAUGUUUUAUGCAUUAUUGUGUGAGCUUUGAGAAAUAAAAGAGCAACUAUAUAUUAAAAAAAGAUGAAAAAAGAAUUCUUAUUGAGUCAGGGCACCAUUUAAGUUGUUUUAAUUGCCUUUAGUUACAGAAACUACACAAGCAGAUACACUGAAAAGCUUUACCUGUAAACCUGCUUAAUGUUUUUUUUUAAUCAUAUAAGCAUU